GAUUAGCCAGAGGGAAGAACAGCGAGAAGAUGGCACUCACUGUGCAAGUGUGUGUGCGAGAAAGCCAUCCUCCUUAUGUCAAAUAUAUGAACGUGGAAAUUUCCCUGGCUGCUCUGAAACGGCUUUUACUUUGUUGUUUAUUCUUGUUAUUGUUAGGUUUCUUUCUUACUUCUUUCUUAACCGUUAAAUGUGUACUACACUUACAGGAUCUGAAGAACAGACUAUUCCUCCCAGGUAACAACAGAGACCAACUAGCGUGAUCAAUCAGGAGCAUGGCGGCUCAAAUAAGCCACUUUCAUUUCCUGAGAAAAGGUGUGGCAAGCUGUGAUGAGGCUCGACUGUGUUUUCCAUUCAGAGACUUGGACCUGCUUGAAUACAAAUUGUAAACCUUUCAA